UUUCUCAUUUCAAUUUGUAUCCUGAAUCCUCUCAUGUUGCAUAACCACCUGCAUUGUCUAGCUGCAACCUGGAGCCCAAAGCUGAGUACAUGGGUCCUGUGGGGAGGACAAGCAAAGGACUUCUGGAGGAAAUGAGGCAGAAACUUCUUUUUUAGGGGGAAGACACAUAUCAGGGUAGGUGUCAGCACUCAGGAUAGUUAAAUAUAAGGAUCCAUGUCAACUGUGUCAAAAAAAUCAAGCAGCUAAAUGCACUUUUUCCAAGAACUCAAAGCUUUGAUAACAACUAUAAGCUCAUGGAAUAUCAAAUGCCACUGCAUAUGUCCUUAUAGACUUAUGGUUUCAAUUUUUACACACACACACACACACACACACACAACCAACUCCUCCUUGCCUGGAAUCUACCUCAGAAGAGAAUAGGCCUCUAGGCAUAAAGAUGAAUACAUAGUUCAUGGUUCCCCUUCUGAAGAACACACUCAAAAUAAAUACAAGUAGUAUCAAAUCCAGCUCACUUAGGUAGAACCAAAACAAACAGAAAAGCUUAAUUUAGCAAUGGCAUAGCACUGGCCUGUUCUCACCUGGAAACCACUGUCUGUGGCUUCAGUUUGGAAGUGUGGCAUUGGGUGUUGGGUCCAUGUCCCAUGUGUCACUUUUAACAGUAAAAUUCUUGUGGAUGUAAAAAAGUGAUGCUUUGGGCUGAGCAUGGUGGCACAUGCCCUGAAAUCUCAGCAAGUCGGGAGGUUGAAGCAGGAGGAUCGCAAUAUCAAUGCCAGCCUCGUCAACUUAGUCAGACUCUGUCUCAAAAUAAAAAAGAAAAUGGCUGGAGGCAUAACUCAGCAGUAAAGCACCCAAAUUCAAUCCCCACUACUGCAAAAAAAAAAUUUAAAAGGGUUGGAACUGCAGCUCAGUUAUAGAGCACUCCUGACUUCAAUCCCUACUACCUCAAAACAAAACAACAAGCAACAUGGUGCUUUGUGG
rnacentral:lncRNA from 1 species